GACGAACGCUGGCGGCGCGCUUAACAUAUGCAAGUCGAACGGAAAGGCCUGCUUUCCCUUGUGGAUUGCGGGUACUCGAGUGGCGAACGGGUGAGUAACACGUGAGUGAUCUGCCCCCAACUUGGGUAUAAGCCUGGGAAACUGGGUCUAAUUCCCGAUAGGACUGCAGGGUGGUGCCUGUGGUGGAAAACGAUUUUCUAGUGGUUGGGGAUGAGCGCGCGGCCUAUCAGCUUGUUGGUGGGGUAAUGGCCUACCAAGGCUGCGACGGGUAGCCGGCCUGAGAGGGUGGACGGCCACAUUGGGACUGAGAGACGGCCCAGACUCCUACGGGAGGCAGCAGUGGGGAAUAUUGCACAAUGGGCGGAAGCCUGAUGCAGCGACGCCGCGUGGGGGAUGACGGCCUUCGGGUUGUAAACUCCUUUCGACCGCGAGGAAGCCACCUGGUUGGAAGGGUGGUGACGGUAGUGGUAGAAGAAGCACCGGCUAACUACGUG
rnacentral:rRNA from 1 species